GACGAACGCUGGCGGCAUGCCUAAUACAUGCAAGUCGAGCGGAGUGUGUUUGAAAGCUUGCUUUCAAACACACUUAGCGGCGGACGGGUGAGUAACACGUAGGCAACCUGCCUUUCAGUUUGGGAUAACUUCCGGAAACGGAUGCUAAUACCGAAUACAUCAUCUUCUGGCAUCAGAGAAUGAGGAAAGACGGCGCAAGCUGUCACUGAGAGAUGGGCCUGCGGCGCAUUAGCUAGUUGGUGGGGUAACGGCUCACCAAGGCGACGAUGCGUAGCCGACCUGAGAGGGUGAACGGCCACACUGGGACUGAGACACGGCCCAGACUCCUACGGGAGGCAGCAGUAGGGAAUCUUCCACAAUGGGCGAAAGCCUGAUGGAGCAAUGCCGCGUGAGUGAUGAAGGUUUUCGGAUCGUAAAGCUCUGUUGCCAGGGAAGAACGUCCGGGUGAGUAACUGCACCCGGAGUGACGGUACCUGAGAAGAAAGCCCCGGCUAACUACGUGCCAGCCGCCGCAGUAA
rnacentral:rRNA from 1 species